AUUCACAAAAAAUAUAAAGAAGGCAUGGCCUUCAUGUUCCUGUGUCGUUCCGGUCCUGAUUCUGUUCACUAAAGGUGAAUUGAUCAGCAUGAGACCUUCACUGUGACAGUGCUGGAGAAAGGAGCUCCAGGAAUGGAUUCAGAGACCAGUGCACUGGUGAGAAUAAGCAGGGAACAGGUACAACCCUGAAAACGGAGCCAUGCCCUGACCUACCACGUACCAGCGCCCCAUAUCUGACUUGGGGGGGACUGAGCUCUCAGGGCAAUGUUGAAGGAAAGAUUUGCAUUUUCCUUGCACACGCCAUCAAAGAUCCUCACAUACACGACUUAACCUAGCCCACACAGGACAUCUGUAACAGAGCUGGGGUCAGAAAUGCUGCCUCUAAUCCUUUCCUCCAGCCAGCACAUCUCUUCUUCAGGGCUAGCAAAGACUACUGCCAUCAGGGACGCGCUACAGUCACCCUCUCCCAUACGUACCCUGCUUAGGAUCCCUGUUUUCCACCCAUAGCUAUGGGAAACUGCAGAAGCGGCUGCUAGAAAGGAAGUUGGAGAUUGCUGAAGUCUAUUCUAAUCCACGGUGUCUAUAUUUAUGCAGCCCUUGUCACAGCAGAGCAGGAAAAAUGUCACUGGAACAGUUUUAUUUUUGCCAGCAGGCAAGAGGUUUAGAGAGAGGCGGUACAACCUCUAUUUGAUGAUGUGUUUGUACAAAUGUUUAACUUGCUAUUUCUCUUAAAAAUCAUCUUUAAUGUUGAUUUACAUUCCUGGCAGUGAAGGUAGGAGGUUGGCAAUUCCGCUCCACUUCAGCCCGUGCUCCCACUGAGGCACUGACACAGAGCGGUGCCUCACAGCGCUCACGUUUUACCAUCAAACGUCUGCAAGUUCUCACUCUGAUAUUCAUGGGCAGAUGAUGCGACUACUCCGCUUGCAUUUGGAAGGCCAAAUAGUAAGGAUCGAAAUGUUGCAUCAUGAAGAGGUGCAUUGGGAACUGCUCGAUUGGAAACAAGGGAUGAUGUACGAAGCCAAUGUGCUGUGGUGACACUGCUUUCCUUGUGAUGCCACCCCGCUCCAUGGGCUGAGCCGCUUCUUCUCCUGCCUCACGACGCCAAGUGAACCACACGCCAUCGUACCUUCCACACCUGAGCAUGUCAAGCUGACAUUUUUAUUGCCCUGCUAAUUGCUACGUGGCCAAGGACUCGAAUCCUCUGUUAGCAGCCUGAGUAAGUGGUGGCUGAGGGAGGAGCGGCCAGCCCCGCACGCUCCACAGCAGGGAACAACUCCUUCGUUGGCAGCUCAUCCUCCCACUGCUCAGAAGGACGCGACCACCCUCUUCGCUGCCCCUUCAGCCUCCCUGCCCAGCACUUUCGCGCAGCGUCACACCCGUGCUAACGGGGCUGCCUCUACCCGCCGGGCCGCACCCUCAGCACCACACGCCCUCCCCCCGGGCACGCCACGGCCGC
ensembl:lncRNA